rnacentral:rRNA from 1 species
AUUGAACGCUGGCGGCAGGCCUAACACAUGCAAGUCGAGCGGUAACGCGGGGCAACCUGGCGACGAGCGGCGGACGGGUGAGUAACGCGUAGGAAUCUACCUGGUAGUGGGGGAUAGCCCGGGGAAACUCGGAUUAAUACCGCAUACGCCUCAAGGGGGAAAGUGGGGGAUCUUCGGACCUCACGCUAUCAGAAGAGCCUGCGUUGGAUUAGCUAGUUGGUAGGGUAAAAGCCUACCAAGGCGGCGAUCCAUAGCUGGUCUGAGAGGAUGAUCAGCCACACUGGAACUGAGACACGGUCCAGACUCCUACGGGAGGCAGCAGUGGGGAAUAUUGGACAAUGGGGGCAACCCUGAUCCAGCCAUGCCGCGUGUGUGAAGAAGGCCUUCGGGUUGUAAAGCACUUUAAGCAGGGAGGAAGGCUUCACGGUUAAUAACCGUGGGGAUUGACGUUACCUGCAGAAUAAGCACCGGCUAACUCCGUGCCAGCCGCCGCCGUAAAAC